AACGAACGCUGGCGGCAGGCCUAACACAUGCAAGUCGAGCGGACCUUUCGGGGUCAGCGGCGGACGGGUGCGUAACGCGUGGGAAUUUGCCCUUCUCUACGGAAUAGUCCUGGGAAACUGGGGGUAAUACCGUAUACGCCCUUUGGGGGAAAGAUUUAUCGGGGAAGGAUUAGCCCGCGUUGGAUUAGGUAGUUGGUGGGGUAAUGGCCUACCAAGCCGACGAUCCAUAGCUGGUUUGAGAGGAUGAUCAGCCACACUGGGACUGAGACACGGCCCAGACUCCUACGGGAGGCAGCAGUGGGGAAUCUUAGACAAUGGGGGCAACCCUGAUCUAGCCAUGCCGCGUGAGUGAUGAAGGCCUUAGGGUUGUAAAGCUCUUUCAGCUGGGAAGAUAAUGACGGUACCAGCAGAAGAAGCCCCGGCUAACUCCGUG
rnacentral:rRNA from 1 species